rnacentral:rRNA from 1 species
UACGAAGGGGCUAGCGUUGCUCGGAAUCACUGGGCGUAAAGCGCACGUAGGCGGGUCUUUAAGUCAGGGGUGAAAUCCUGGAGCUCAACUCCAGAACUGCCUUUGAUACUGAGGAUCUCGAGUCCGGGAGAGGUGAGUGGAACUCCGAGUGUAGAGGUGAAAUUCGUAGAUAUUCGGAAGAACACCAGUGCGAAGGCGGCUCACUGGCCCGGUACUGACGCUGAGGUGGCGAAAGCGUGGGGAGCAAACAGG